rnacentral:ncRNA from 1 species
CAAAGGCAUGGUCCCGACCUUUUAAUCAGCUCCAACCUGACUUACACAUGCAAGUCUCCGCAGCCCUGUGAGCAUGCCCUCAAUCCCCUUGCCUGGGGAUAAGGAGCGGGUAUCAGGCACAAAAAUUAGCCCAAGACACCUAGCCCAGCCACGCCCCCAAGGGGAUCCAGCAGUGAUAAACAUUAAGCAAUGAGCGUUAAGCUUGACUCAGUCAAGGUUUCACAAGGGCCGGUAAAACUCGUGCCAGCAACCGCGGUUAGACGAGAGGCCCCAGUUGAUUAACCCACGGCGUAAAGGGUGGCUAUGGAACUCAGAAAAUAAAGCCAAAUGGCCCCUUGGCCGUCAUACGCUCCUGGGAGCCCGAAGCCCAAGCACGAAAGUAGCUUUAAAGACCACCUGAACCCACGAAAGCUAAGGAACAAACUGGGAUUAGAUACCCCAUUAUGCUUAGCCGUAAACCAAGAUACAUUAUUACAACGACAUCCGCCUGGACACUACGAGCACUAGCUUAAAACCCAAAGGACCUGACGGUGUCUUAGACCCCCCUAGAGGAGCCUGUUCUAGAACCGAUUACCCCCGUUAAACCUCACCACUUCUAGUUUAAACCAGCCUAUAUACCGCCGUCGCCAGCUUACCCUGUGAAGGAAAAGAAGUAAGCGAGAUGGGCAAAACCCAGAACGUCAGGUCGAGGUGUAGCAUAUGAAGUGGGAAGAAAUGGGCUACAUUUUCUGUAACAGAAUAUUACGAACACGCAACAUGAAACAUGUGCCAGAAGGAGGAUUUAGCAGUAAAAAGUGAAGCAGAGUGUCCUUUUGAAUUCGGCUCUAAGACGCGUACACACCGCCCGUCACUCCCCCCGGUCUGAAUGCGAAGAAAAUACCUAAUAAAACAGCACUGACGAGGGGGGAAAAGUCGUAACAAGGUAAGUGUACCGGAAGGUGCACUUGGAUCAAA